rnacentral:rRNA from 1 species
AUUGAACGCUGGCGGGAGGCCUAACACAUGCAAGCCGAGCGGUAUAGAUCUUUCGGGAUCUUGAGAGCGGCGUACGGGUGCGGAACACGUGUGCAACCUGCCUUUAUCUGGGGGAUAGCCUUUCGAAAGGAAGAUUAAUACCCCAUAAUAUUUAGAAUGGCAUCAUUUUAAAUUGAAAACUCCGGUGGAUAGAGAUGGGCACGCGCAAGAUUAGAUAGUUGGUGAGGUAACGGCUCACCAAGUCUGCGAUCUUUAGGGGGCCUGAGAGGGUGAUCCCCCACACUGGUACUGAGACACGGACCAGACUCCUACGGGAGGCAGCAGUGAGGAAUAUUGGACAAUGGGUGAGAGCCUGAUCCAGCCAUCCCGCGUGAAGGACGACUGCCCUAUGGGUUGUAAACUUCUUUUGUAUAGGGAUAAACCUACUCUCGUGAGAGUAGCUGAAGGUACUAUACGAAUAAGCACCGGCUAACUCCGUGCCAGCCGCCGCGGUAAGAC